AAGCUAGAGAAAGAGGACCACUAACCCUCCCUAAUGAU
rnacentral:tRNA from 1 species